UUUAAGAUUAAGCCAUGCAUGUCUCAGUACUUGCUUUUACAAGGCGAAACCGCGAAUGGCUCAUUAAAUCAGUUAUGGUUCACUAGAUCGUAAAUUUUACACGGAUAACUGUGGUAAUUCUAGAGCUAAUACGUGAUUCCAGCUCGCUUCCUUGUGGAGCGAGCGCAGUUAUUAGAUCAAAACCGAUCCGGCCUUCUGGUCGGUAAAAUUGGUGACUCUGAAUAACCGAAGCGGAGCGCAUGGUCUCGUACCGGCGCCAGAUCUUUCAAGUGUCUGACUUAUCAGCUUGUUGUUAGGUUAUGUUCCUAACAAGGCUUCAACGGGUAACGGGGUAUCAGGGUCCGAUACCGGAGAGGGAGCCUGAGAAACGGCUACCACAUCCAAGA
rnacentral:rRNA from 1 species